GGCUCGUUGGUCAAGCGGUUAAGACACCGCCCUUUCACGGCGGUAACACGGGUUCGAAUCCCGUACGGGUCACCA
rnacentral:tRNA from 1 species